rnacentral:lncRNA from 1 species
AAUUAGGAAUGGAGUGGUUAGAUUUCACAAAUGUCCCUCUUUUGCAGGUCAUGUUUUUAGUUUUAUGAGAAUACUGUAUACCUGUAUAGACCCAUUUUUCUCAUACGGUAGUUGACAUCAAACUGCAUUAGGAGUAGAGUCAUCAGUCCUUAUAAGCUUUGUCAAUGGAGCACUGGAACAAUGAUAAUGGAGUGAGAUAGAUACAUUUCAGGUGUACUCCACCCACUUGAAAUUAGAGAUGUCCUUUAAACAUUACUGUAUUUUCUCCGUGGGUCUAUGUGCAACCAGAACGACUGUGUGACUCAUUAAGUUCUCUGAGCUGAUUUAUUUUCCAAGCAUGUGAGAAGAGGAAAAACAACGUAUCUGACUUCCAUCUCUACACUUCAUUUUAUAUCCCAUGAAAUGUUAGCUGCAGCCUUUCAGUUCCAAAGACUGUGGAGAUUUCCUACUACACACCCUGCACCUCGAAGAAAACACUACGUGGAUGCCUCUCUAAAGAAAAACGUCAAGAUUUGAAAUACAGUUUGCUGAGGCAAAUCAUGGACAAUCCCUGUUUGAAAAGCCAUCUUCUCAUCUGCUUCCCCAAGAACUCUACAUUCCUUAAAAAGAAAGUAAUAGGAGUUGUUUGGAAAGAAACAGUGAUAAAGCAACUCUUUUUAAUACAUGAA